rnacentral:rRNA from 1 species
GCCAGACUCCUACGGGAGGCAGCAGUGGGGGAUAUUGCACAAUGGGGGAAACCCUGAUGCAGCGACGCCGCGUGUGGGAAGACGGUCUUCUGGAUUGUAAACCACUGUCCCCAGGGACGAAAAUGACGGUACCUGGGGAGGAAGCUCCGGCUAACUACGUGCCAGCAGCCGCGGUAAUACGUAGGUGGCAAGCGUUAUCCGGAUUUACUGGGUGUAAAGGGCGUGUAGGCGGGGACGCAAGUCAGAUGUGAAAACCAUGGGCUCAACCUGUGGCCUGCAUUUGAAACUGUGUUUCUUGAGUACUGGAGAGGCAGACGGAAUUCCUAGUGUAGCGGUGAAAUGCGUAGAUAUUAGGAGGAACACCAGUGGCGAAGGCGACUUUCUGGACUGUACCUGACGCUGAGGCGCGAAAGCGUGGGUAGCGAACGGGAUUAGAUACCCCCGUA